rnacentral:rRNA from 1 species
GACUAAGCGUACACGGUGGAUGCCCUGGCAGUCAGAGGCGAUGAAGGACGUGCUAAUCUGCGAUAAGCGUCGGUAAGGUGAUAUGAACCGUUAUAACCGGCGAUUUCCGAAUGGGGAAACCCAGUGUGAUUCGUCACACUAUCAUUAACUGAAUCCAUAGGUUAAUGAGGCGAACCGGGGGAACUGAAACAUCUAAGUACCCCGAGGAAAAGAAAUCAACCGAGAUUCCCCCAGUAGCGGCGAGCGAACGGGGAGGAGCCCAGAGCCUGAAUCAGUGUGUGUGUUAGUGGAAGCGUCUGGAAAGGCGCGCGAUACAGGGUGACAGCCCCGUACACAAAAAUGCACAUGCUGUGAGCUCGAUGAGUAGGGCGGGACACGUGGUAUCCUGUCUGAAUAUGGGGGGACCAUCCUCCAAGGCUAAAUACUCCUGACUGACCGAUAGUGAACCAGUACCGUGAGGGAAAGGCGAAAAGAACCCCGGCGAGGGGAGUGAAAAAGAACCUGAAACCGUGUACGUACAAGCAGUGGGAGCACAGAGCAAUCUGUGUGACUGCGUACCUUUUGUAUAAUGGGUCAGCGACUUAUAUUCUGUAGCAAGGUUAACCGAAUAGGGGAGCCGAAGGGAAACCGAGUCUUAACUGGGCGUUAAGUUGCAGGGUAUAGACCCGAAACCCGGUGAUCUAGCCAUGGGCAGGUUGAAGGUUGGGUAACACUAACUGGAGGACCGAACCGACUAAUGUUGAAAAAUUAGCGGAUGACUUGUGGCUGGGGGUGAAAGGCCAAUCAAACCGGGAGAUAGCUGGUUCUCCCCGAAAGCUAUUUAGGUAGCGCCUCGUGAAUUCAUCUCCGGGGGUAGAGCACUGUUUCGGCAAGGGGGUCAUCCCGACUUACCAACCCGAUGCAAACUGCGAAUACCGGAGAAUGUUAUCACGGGAGACACACGGCGGGUGCUAACGUCCGUCGUGAAGAGGGAAACAACCCAGACCGCCAGCUAAGGUCCCAAAGUCAUGGUUAAGUGGGAAACGAUGUGGGAAGGCCCAGACAGCCAGGAUGUUGGCUUAGAAGCAGCCAUCAUUUAAAGAAAGCGUAAUAGCUCACUGGUCGAGUCGGCCUGCGCGGAAGAUGUAACGGGGCUAAACCAUGCACCGAAGCUGCGGCAGCGACACUAUGUGUUGUUGGGUAGGGGAGCGUUCUGUAAGCCUGUGAAGGUGUGCUGUGAGGCAUGCUGGAGGUAUCAGAAGUGCGAAUGCUGACAUAAGUAACGAUAAAGCGGGUGAAAAGCCCGCUCGCCGGAAGACCAAGGGUUCCUGUCCAACGUUAAUCGGGGCAGGGUGAGUCGACCCCUAAGGCGAGGCCGAAAGGCGUAGUCGAUGGGAAACAGGUUAAUAUUCCUGUACUUGGUGUUACUGCGAAGGGGGGACGGAGAAGGCUAUGUUGGCCGGGCGACGGUUGUCCCGGUUUAAGCGUGUAGGCUGGUUUUCCAGGCAAAUCCGGAAAAUCAAGGCUGAGGCGUGAUGACGAGGCACUACGGUGCUGAAGCAACAAAUGCCCUGCUUCCAGGAAAAGCCUCUAAGCAUCAGGUAACAUCAAAUCGUACCCCAAACCGACACAGGUGGUCAGGUAGAGAAUACCAAGGCGCUUGAGAGAACUCGGGUGAAGGAACUAGGCAAAAUGGUGCCGUAACUUCGGGAGAAGGCACGCUGAUAUGUAGGUGAAGCGACUUGCUCGUGGAGCUGAAAUCAGUCGAAGAUACCAGCUGGCUGCAACUGUUUAUUAAAAACACAGCACUGUGCAAACACGAAAGUGGACGUAUACGGUGUGACGCCUGCCCGGUGCCGGAAGGUUAAUUGAUGGGGUCAGCGCAAGCGAAGCUCUUGAUCGAAGCCCCGGUAAACGGCGGCCGUAACUAUAACGGUCCUAAGGUAGCGAAAUUCCUUGUCGGGUAAGUUCCGACCUGCACGAAUGGCGUAAUGAUGGCCAGGCUGUCUCCACCCGAGACUCAGUGAAAUUGAACUCGCUGUGAAGAUGCAGUGUACCCGCGGCAAGACGGAAAGACCCCGUGAACCUUUACUAUAGCUUGACACUGAACAUUGAGCCUUGAUGUGUAGGAUAGGUGGGAGGCUUUGAAGUGUGGACGCCAGUCUGCAUGGAGCCGACCUUGAAAUACCACCCUUUAAUGUUUGAUGUUCUAACGUUGACCCGUAAUCCGGGUUGCGGACAGUGUCUGGUGGGUAGUUUGACUGGGGCGGUCUCCUCCUAAAGAGUAACGGAGGAGCACGAAGGUUGGCUAAUCCUGGUCGGACAUCAGGAGGUUAGUGCAAUGGCAUAAGCCAGCUUGACUGCGAGCGUGACGGCGCGAGCAGGUGCGAAAGCAGGUCAUAGUGAUCCGGUGGUUCUGAAUGGAAGGGCCAUCGCUCAACGGAUAAAAGGUACUCCGGGGAUAACAGGCUGAUACCGCCCAAGAGUUCAUAUCGACGGCGGUGUUUGGCACCUCGAUGUCGGCUCAUCACAUCCUGGGGCUGAAGUAGGUCCCAAGGGUAUGGCUGUUCGCCAUUUAAAGUGGUACGCGAGCUGGGUUUAGAACGUCGUGAGACAGUUCGGUCCCUAUCUGCCGUGGGCGCUGGAGAACUGAGGGGGGCUGCUCCUAGUACGAGAGGACCGGAGUGGACGCAUCACUGGUGUUCGGGUUGUCAUGCCAAUGGCACUGCCCGGUAGCUAAAUGCGGAAGAGAUAAGUGCUGAAAGCAUCUAAGCACGAAACUUGCCCCGAGAUGAGUUCUCCCUGACUCCUUGAGAGUCCUGAAGGAACGUUGAAGACGACGACGUUGAUAGGCCGGGUGUGUAAGCGCAGCGAUGCGUUGAGCUAACCGGUACUAAUGAACCGUGAGGCUUAACCUUACAACGCCGAAGGUGUUU